UACAGAGGUCUCAAGCGUUGUUCGGAUUCAUUGGGUUUAAAGGGAGCGUAGGCGGAUUGGUAAGUCAGUGGUGAAAUCCUAUCGCUUAACGAUAGAACUGCCAUUGAUACUGCUGAUCUAGAGUACAGUUGCCGUUGGCGGAAUAUGACAUGUAGUGGUGAAAUACUUAGAUAUGUCAUAGAACACCGAUUGCGAAGGCAGCUAACGAAGCUGUAACUGACGCUGAGGCUCGAAAGUGCGGGGAUCAAACAGG
rnacentral:rRNA from 1 species